rnacentral:lncRNA from 1 species
CGGCACCGCCCCCCGCGGUUCUCUGCUUCCCGGAGGGAGCCGAGCUCCCGGUGUCCCCGGGGAGGGCGAGCCCCCAGGCUACCGGGUGGCCCUGGCCCAGUCCCCAGCCGGCGGGAGCGAGGGGAAGGCUCUGACGGGCGGGCGUCGGGUGUCCUGGCGCUUCCCUGUGGACUGACCCCGAGCGCGAAAAGAUUCAACUACGUCGGAAGAAGAACAUGCCAUUUUGUAGUUUGCCAAAUGAAGUACAGCUCCAACUCUGCCAGACCACAAUCUAUCGAGAAUUUGAAGCUGAAAGUAUGGUUAUAAGAUAAAAAACAUGUACCAAAGGAAUGCUAUUUGAUUCUUGCUGGACAUUUAAAGGUCAUGUCAAGUAAUACAAGCAGAAACAAAAAUACCAACUCUGGAAUUUGAGUUUGAAAGAAAGUGACAUCAAAGGGAUAAAUAAUGCCUCAAUUUUUUGGUCUCCCACCACAUUUUUUUAUUAAAAAAUUUUAAAAUUAUGUUGUCAUUGCAUUAAAAUAAUUUAC